rnacentral:rRNA from 2 species
AUUAGUGGCGAACGGGUGAGUAACACGUGGGCAAUCUGCCCUUCACUCUGGGACAAGCCCUGGAAACGGGGUCUAAUACCGGAUAACACUCCUCAGGGCAUCUUGAGGGGUUAAAAGCUCCGGCGGUGAAGGAUGAGCCCGCGGCCUAUCAGCUUGUUGGUGGGGUGAUGGCCUACCAAGGCGACGACGGGUAGCCGGCCUGAGAGGGCGACCGGCCACACUGGGACUGAGACACGGCCCAGACUCCUACGGGAGGCAGCAGUGGGGAAUAUUGCACAAUGGGCGAAAGCCUGAUGCAGCGACGCCGCGUGAGGGAUGACGGCCUUCGGGUUGUAAACCUCUUUCAGCAGGGAAGAAGCGAAAGUGACGGUACCUGCAGAAGAAGCGCCGGCUAACUACGUGCCAGCAGCCGCGGUAAUACGUAGGGCGCAAGCGUUGUCCGGAAUUAUUGGGCGUAAAGAGCUCGUAGGCGGCUUGUCACGUCGGAUGUGAAAGCCCGGGGCUUAACCCCGGGUCUGCAUUCGAUACGGGCUAGCUAGA